CUUGGCGAUUUUUUAGGUCCAAUUCCCGCUUUUCCCAUCGGGAGCUGCUGAAACGAGCCGGGUUUGCCACUCCAGGGCUGCGAGAUGUGUUUGUGUUGGGUUUUUGCUGCUUCAGGU